UACGUAGGGGGCGAGCGUUGUCCGGAUUUAUUGGGCGUAAAGAGCUCGUAGGCGGCUUGUCGCGUCGUCCGUGAAAACUUGGGGCUCAACCCCAAGCUUGCGGUCGAUACGGGCAGGCUAGAGUUCGGUAGGGGAGACUGGAAUUCCUGGUGUAGCGGUGAAAUGCGCAGAUAUCAGGAGGAACACCGGUGGCGAAGGCGGGUCUCUGGGCCGAUACUGACGCUGAGGAGCGAAAGCGUGGGGAGCGAACAGG
rnacentral:rRNA from 1 species